UGCACUUUGCUGACGAGUGGCGGACGGGUGAGUAAUGCUUGGGAACUUGCCUUUGCGAGGGGGAUAACAGUUGGAAACGACUGCUAAUACCGCAUAAUGUCUACGGACCAAACGGGGCUUAGGCUUCGGCGCAGAGAGAGGCCCAAGUGAGAUUAGCUAGUUGGUGGGGUAAAGGCUCACCAAGGCGACGAUCUCUAGCUGUUCUGAGAGGAAGAUCAGCCACACUGGGACUGAGACACGGCCCAGACUCCUACGGGAGGCAGCAGUGGGGAAUAUUGCACAAUGGGGGGAACCCUGAUGCAGCCAUGCCGCGUGUGUGAAGAAGGCCUUCGGGUUGUAAAGCACUUUCAGUUGUGAGGAAAAGUGAGUAGUUAAUACCUGCUCACCGUGACGUUAACAACAGAAGAAGCACCGGCUAACUCCGUGCCAGCAGCCGCGGUAAUACGGAGGGUGCGAGCGUUAAUCGGAAUUACUGGGCGUAAAGCGCACGCAGGCGGUUUGUUAAGCUAGAUGUGAAAGCCCCGAGCUCAACUUGGGAUGGUCAUUU
rnacentral:rRNA from 1 species